UCUCCGGUAGUCCAGUGGUUAAGACUCUGCACUUCCACUGCAAGGGUCCGGGGUUCAGUUCCUGGUCAGGGAG
rnacentral:tRNA from 1 species